AUUGAACGCUGGCGGCAGGCCUAACACAUGCAAGUCGAACGAGUGGCGGACGGGUGAGUAAUGUCUGGGAAACUGCCCGAUGGAGGGGGAUAACUACUGGAAACGGUAGCUAAUACCGCAUACCAUCGGAUGUGCCCAGAUGGGAUUAGCUAGUAGGUGGGGUAACGGCUCACCUAGGCGACGAUCCCUAGCUGGUCUGAGAGGAUGACCAGCCACACUGGAACGGAGACACGGCCCAGACUCUUCCGGGAGGGAGCAGUGGGGAAUAUUGAACAAUGGGCCAAACCAUGAUACAGCCAUGCCGCGUGUAUGAAGAAGGCCUCGGGGUUGUAAAUUCCUUUAAGCGGGGAGACGUUACCCGCAGAAGAAGCACCGGCUAACUCCGUGCCAGCAGCCGCGGUAAUUC
rnacentral:rRNA from 1 species